UACGUAGGGGGCAAGCGUUAUCCGGAAUUACUGGGUGUAAAGGGAGCGUAGGCGGCAUGGUAAGUAAGAUGUGAAAGCCCGAGGCUUAACCUCGAGGAUUGCAUUUUAAACUAUCAAGCUAGAGUACAGGAGAGGAAAGCGGAAUUCCUAGUGUAGCGGUGAAAUGCGUAGAUAUUAGGAAGAACACCAGUGGCGAAGGCGGCUUUCUGGACUGAAACUGACGCUGAGGCUCGAAAGCGUGGGGAGCGAACAGG
rnacentral:rRNA from 1 species